GAUGAACGCUGGCGGCGUGCCUAAUACAUGCAAGUCGAGCGAACAGACGAGGAGCUUGCUCCUCUGACGUUAGCGGCGGACGGGUGAGUAACACGUGGAUAACCUACCUAUAAGACUGGGAUAACUUCGGGAAACCGGAGCUAAUACCGGAUAAUAUAUUGAACCGCAUGGUUCAAUAGUGAAAGACGGUUUUGCUGUCACUUAUAGAUGGAUCCGCGCCGCAUUAGCUUGUUGGUAAGGUAACGGCUUACCAAGGCAACGAUGCGUAGCCGACCUGAGAGGGUGAUCGGCCACACUGGAACUGAGACACGGUCCAGACUCCUACGGGAGGCAGCAGUAGGGAAACUUCCGCAAUGGGCGAAAGCCUGACGGAGCAACGCCGCGUGAGUGAUGAAGGUCUUCGGAUCGUAAAACUCUGUUAUUAGGGAAGAACAAAUGUGUAAGUAACUAUGCACGUCUUGACGGUACCUAAUCAGAAAGCCACGGCUAACUACGUG
rnacentral:rRNA from 1 species